ACGGAGGGUGCAAGCGUUAUCCGGAUUUAUUGGGUUUAAAGGGUGCGUAGGCGGCUUAAUAAGUCAGUGGUGAAAGCCUGUGGCUCAACCACAGAAUUGCCAUUGAUACUGUUAAGCUUGAAUUUAGAUGAAGUGGGCGGAAUACGACAUGUAGCGGUGAAAUGCAUAGAUAUGUCGUGGAACACCGAUUGCGAAGGCAGCUCACUAACCUAACAUUGACGCUGAGGCACGAAAGCGUGGGGAGCGAACAGG
rnacentral:rRNA from 1 species